GAGACACCUCUCUAGGCCGCAGCCUGCGCCGGAGCCACCUUUCCGCCGGCCGUGAGCUGUUCAAGUAUCUUGGUCGUGUCGUCGCCGUUGGUAGUCGUUGCACGUCAUCUCCUGACAUCCCCAGGUAGCCACACCUUCCCGCCAGAUCGGCUCUUGUCUCCGCUGCUGUCCCGCACCAUCGGUUGCUGCGCCCAGGCCUUGCGACUGUGUGGCUCCUGGCAGACAGGACAACUGUCCCUUGGAUGGCUUUGGGGGCUCUGCCUGAGCCAGCGCCCUUUUCUCCUGCUGGACCCUGAUCUGCACUGUGCGAUGCGCCCCCACUGUAUCCAGGGGCCCUGGGAGUGUCAUGUGACUGCUGUUCCGUGUCUAAGAGGUGUCCUCAGGGAGAACCUGAAUUAUGAGGUCCCAGACCUGCCCUCUGCCCGUUUUGCAGCACAGGCCCACAGCCUAGCUCCUGGGCUUGGGGCUCCUCGGCCAGCCUGGAGGAUUUAGUGGACAGUGGUGACCAUUUGGAAAAGAGAGUUUAUCGCCCUCUCAAGCGAUUUGCCUCCCAAGUUUGAGUCAUACUAAGUGGAUCUUUGCAGAAUAGGAUGACAGCUGCUGGGGCCUUGUGACAGGCUGGACAGACAAGUAAUGACAACUUGAUGUGAGAGCUGCUGAGGAUGGUGGUCCAUCCCUUUGUUCAAGAUGCAGCAGGACCUCAGUGUCAAAGCCUCUGACAGGCAGCCUUGGAUCGGAGACUGCUGAAGGAAGCCCCCAGGUUAUGAAUCAGUGACCCUCAGGAUAACUUGGCACCUGGGUUUGCUGUGGAUAUUUUUCACCAAGAUUCUCUUGGUAUUGUUCGUGGACACCAGAGGGGCAAAGAAUGGAGACGUGGUCCCCAAAUGCAGCCUCACCACAGCUCCUCCCUGCUGCCUGCUCAGAGCAUCAUGGAACGACUGUUCACGCUGCACAAAGAGAUCAGAGGAAAAGCGCUGGGACUGGGGGUUGGGGUCCACUUCAGCUGGCUCUGAGUCAUGACAACAAACAGCACCCUUACAGGGCCAUGACGGGGGGGCCAGCCCCGCGUCUCUCUUCCAUGCUUGGAAUGACUUGAGUAACCAAGAGUUUUUCUCUGAAUCUGUAGCUGCUCUUCACUUUCCUGUCCACCUACCCAUUCAAUAAACCUUACAAACUUGCUC